rnacentral:ribozyme from 1 species
AAAAACAAAAACAAAAAACAACAUUGAUUUGCUUUUUUCGGAUGUCUACAAUUUUGUUGUCUUUUGUGUUUUUGUCUCCUGAGUCGUGUUGCAGCGUUUCGAAGCCAUUUGCGAUUCUUGAAAUAAAACAGAAUAAUAGAAAGUGGAGAGAAGCUUGACUUUAUAGAGU